CGAUCGGAUAGUGCGGGAAACCGCAUGAAACUCGCCUGCAAUUCCCGGCAUCACCGCGUUGCGGUGUGGCGACUUUACUUCUGCCUUCGGGCAGUAUCAAC
ncrna:unclassified sequences DTF3577 RNA